AAUGGUAAUACGAACUUUGUAACACGUAAUAAUUUCUUAGAAAUUAUUUUAUCAUCCGAGAAAUUCCGUCUGUGACGUUGGGCAGGCGUAGGGUAUACUCUUUGUCCAAUUAUCCCUCUCAUAAGUUUUAAAACUUGUUACUUGGAAAAUUAAUUUUAUUCGACCAAUUCCUAAGUCUUCUUUCAAUUCAUCCAAUAUUGCAAAUUACUGACCUAUAUCCUUGCCUUCUCUUAUAGUUAAAAUGUUUGAGUU